AAACUCAUCCUGCUGCCUCAUGGGGUUCCUGACACCCCCAAAACUCAUCCUGCUGCCUCAUGGGGUUCCUGACACCCCAAAACUCCUCCUGCUGUCACCCUGCACAGGAGCACAGGGCCAACAACCUGCAGUCACCCUGGUGGGAGAGAAACCCCAAUGCUCCCCCAAAACUGAAGAAGAGUUAAUACAGCUGGGAAUUUCCUGGGAGAGGGCAGACAAAGGAAAAAAGCAACGAUCCCUGACAGGAAUAUUUACCUUUUGAAGAUUUGAUCUGGAGAAAUCCUGGUGUUAAGGGUUCACCUUUGUGCAGUGCCAACCACUGAGCCAGGAGACAAAGCCCUGAGAUCCUCCAGAGGAAACCAUCCCAGAGCUUUGGGAAAAUGAGAAGCUGGCUCAUUUCUGAAGAUGCUGAAGUAAAGAGCAAGAGGUCACUGUCAUUUCCACACAUGUUGCUUGUUGGGCAUCUGAAAGGAUACAACCCACAGAGCAAGAGCUGGAAGCACCACAAGGGGAAAUAAAACCUCUUUUAUUCUGCACAAAACCCUCUGUCUGAUGAGUGCCUGAGAAGCCAAGAACAAGACAUGGUUACAAGUCGUGAAAAGCUCCUGCAUGCUGAGAUUAAAAAAGGAACAAAUGAAAAUUCCUCCCUCGUUCCCUUGGAACAGGGCUGGAAUACACAGGCACAGGGUGAGGAGGGUUCUGUAGGGGUGUGGGGCUGUGCCAGAGUUCACAGCCAUGAGGAAAAAUGACAUUUUAAUGCCCUCAGGGCCAGAGUCACAAGGUCUGGAAGGUCACACAAAUGGUUUGUCUCACAGUACACCCCGAAGUGGUGCAGGAGCUGCAGGAUCCUGGGAACACUUGGCACUAAAAGUGACU